rnacentral:rRNA from 1 species
UACGUAGGGUGCGAGCGUUGUCCGGAAUUAUUGGGCGUAAAGAGCUUGUAGGCGGUUUGUCGCGUCUGCUGUGAAAUUUCGGGGCUCAACCCCGAACUUGCAGUGGGUACGGGCAGACUAGAGUGUGGUAGGGGAGACUGGAAUCCUGGUGUAGCGGUGAAAUGCGCAGAUAUCAGGAGGAACACCGAUGGCGAAGGCAGGUCUCUGGGCCGACUACUGACGCUGAGAAGCGAAAGCAUGGGGGAGCGAACAGG